ensembl:ncRNA lncRNA:cherub cherub
UUUCAUUUCAAUCUUCAAACGCUGAGGAUCAACAGCAGCAGCAGCACCAGCAGCAGUAGGAGCCGCACAGGAGCAACAGAAGCACCAGGAUCGAGGACUCCUCGCAGCGCCAUGUCCAGGCGGCGCUAAGGAGGCUGUUGCAGCAUCUCCACACCGACAGAAGAACAAAAUCAACCAAAUCCACCGCAGCAAGCCCAACAAAAUUCAGUCGAAAAAGUUGCAAAAAUUCUACCGCCGAAUGUCAGAUUAAUUUGUAUAAAAAGAAACCCAAGUACCAACAAGCCAAACGAACAAUUUGCGAAAAUUGUUAAUGUGAAACUUACACAUUUUCGUGAUAUGGUUAAAGUAUAACAUAAAUACUAAACACAACAAGGCAAAAGCCUAAGUUUAAGCAAAAAUUUAACCAAAUUCAAAAAAAUCAAUGUCAGCGAAAUAACACAUGAAAUCAAAGCAUAAUUGAAAUAUUUUCACCACACACAACCACGAUACCAUCUUGGAUUAAUAAUAAUUCCAAAAAUAACUAAAAACCAAAUUCCAAAGUACCAUCGAAAAUUAAGGAAAGCUGAUAUCCAAGAAAAUUGUAAUUCGCCUGAAACCAAUUGGAACCCCAGAAUCUGAAGAAAGGAAAGCUAUUAUGGAUCGAGCAGUAACCAUAUGUCUUGCAUCCGGAUCAAACUCACAUCCCCAUCAACGAAAUUGUUAUGAAACUCAACAAAAUUCUUAAGUGUUUACUGCUCAUAAUUCUCUACUGCAAUGACAAUCUCGCCAAGAACGAAAUUCAAAAUCCAAACUGCUAUCAAAAUCGAAUCGAAAUUCCCAACCAGCCAAACUGCCAGUGUCUUAAGCAACUGCCACGCCCCGUCGCAGCCCAACGAAGAGUCCUGUGCCCCAAGCAAAAAAUCCGGCCAGCAAAUCACACCGAAAUCCGACAGAAACUGCAAGGAAGGAAACCAAAAUUCAAGUCCAGGCGCAAACCAAAUAUCCAAGUACACUUUUGCUGGGGCCAAAGCCGACAAAGCUGAUGAUGAUGAACUCGAUGGCGAGGAGAAGGAUCGAGCAUUUGACGGCGAAAGGAGCAGAAGGACGAAAUGGAGCAGCGACGCCGACGCCGGCAGAAGCAGCAGAUAAUCAAGAGAAAGGAGAAAGCUGCCCCGCCGUAGAUAUCCAGCUGAAUAUCUAAGCAGGGGCAGUGAUUUACCCCAAGCAGCAAAAGCCACCCCUCGACAGGAAGCACACACACAUACAGCCCACAUCCUGCGGCGAAUUCACAAACAAGCACACACCGAGACACAGACAGAGAGAGAGAGAGUGAGAGAGAGCCGAAGCAGCAGCAAAGAGAGAGAGAGCGACUGAGUGCCCACCUUUUACUCUCCGAAUUUCGCAAGUAUGUUUUGACUACUGUUUAGAAUCUAAUUUCAAAAACAGAUUUGAGUAACCCCACUGGAGCCUUACUAAGUAAAAUUCCAAAAACAAAGAAUUCCAAUCACAUUUAAAAGUAUGCAAAUUCAAAAACCUAAAACCGAGCCAAAGGUGAGCCUCAUUUCACUCUCGUCAGCAGCCCAGAAGCAAAAUUUCAAAAUCCCACCGACACAACUCAAAAUCCAAAAACGAACUCUUCUUCUACGGCAUCGCAGAAGGCUUCAUUUCCAGAAGGCAAAGAAAGUAUCCCUGAAUAUCUUAUUUUCGUUAUUCAACCAAAGAGUUCGCCCCUGCCCCGCCAAAUUCCACACACACAAUGCAAUAGUUUAUCAUUUUGUGUCCCAAAACGCAAAUCGAAUGAAUACAAAUUCCAAAUUCGCGUUUCGUCAUUACAAAUCUUUAGUUAAACCACAAUAUAUUAAUGCAAAAAUCAAGCAAAUGCCAAAAGACAGUUUCGCAUGGCCCAGAGCUUUAGGCGCAAAUCAACCACCCAGCCACACUCACUCACACUCACACACACACACACACACACACUUUAGGAAACACACACACACGCGCAGGGGUAUGCUCACCCAUACACUCACCCAUCAAACACUCACACCCCUUUGGCAAUAAAAUGGCUGCAAAGGAAGCUGCUUCUACGAUUCCCAAGAAGAAAAGAAAUAGCCUGACCCCCCAAAAAGUUCGAUAGGAAAAUACAACGAAAGCGAGUUAUAGGUUAUAGGUUAGCGAAAGGACUAUAGCCAAACCAAACUCCAGUUAAACAACUCAAGCAUUUCUCAGCGCUUUCAAUAUUUCGUUGACAUUUUCAUUAAAGAAAGCAAAGGCGUUGCGGCAUUAUUUAAUCACACGUUUUUGAAAAUUUCAAAGAAAUAUUUAAUGCGCCAGAAGUGCUGAUAGAAAUUUGUACAGCAAACGACAGUACAAAACCCCAGGAAGUCAUUUAAGCCACCCCCAACCCUUAAGUACUCAAAAAUGUCUUCUGGUCAUUGACUUAGAAACAACUUCGACCGACCAAACCAACAUUCAAACGCAAACCUCAUUACGAUUAGUUCAGACAAAUCGAAAUCAAUAUACUGCCAAGCUUAUUCUAAAUACUACAUUCCGGUUAAAAAAUAGAAUCAUUUUUAAAAUAUCUUUGGUUUAUUUACCCACGCUUUAAAUUUACCAAAACGCGAUAUCACAACUAUUACAAUCACGAAAUUGCAAAAAUCGAUCCAAAUUCAAAAAAAGUUUUGCUUACACUAAAAAUAAUCGAACUUUAUUAUCCAAAUCAAGCCAAACAAAUUAAAUUCAUGAAAAUCUGUAAAAUACAAUCUCAAAAAACUUUGUUUUUGAAAAUAUUUUUUCAAAACUUCUUAUUCAAAUUCAACAUCAAAACAACUAAAUUAAAGCUCAUGUAUUACUCCUAAAUUUAAAAAGAAAAUAAUUAAAUUUAACUGGUCUACUAAAUUCAAAAAUAACACAUUUUUAGUAAAAAUGAAAAAAUUACAUUUUUCCGACAACACACUGAAGAAUUUUUAAAAAUAUUUAAAAAAUCCAAAUCGACAAUAAUUUUAUUAUUCGCUAUGCAUCAUGAAAAUAUAAAUCACGCAUCCAAAUUCAAAAAUAAUAUUCAAUUCAAAAAAACUACACUUAAAUUUUAAACCAAACUCAAAUUCUAAAACAAUAUAAGCCAACAAUUUAAAAGAAUUAAAUUAUUUUUUAUGACAGUACUGGAAAAUAUAAUGCACACACUAAAAAUAAAUCUUAAUUUUCAAAUUUCUGACAAAAUUCAAAAUUUAAAAUUUAAGAAAUCAUCCAAAAAAUUUUUGUUGUAUAAAAAUUGAUUGCACGAUAGAAAUUCAAAAUGAAAUAGAAUCAAAUAAUUCAAAAUCCGAAAAGGUUUUACUAUAAAAUCAAAGAGCAUAAAAUUGACAAAAUUCAAUCAAAAUCAAACCGUUAAAAGUCACAUAAAUAUCUACCAAAAUUCAAAAUCAAAAAAGAAAAACUACCAAAUUAAAAACUGCAAAAUUAAAGAUCAAUUCAAAUUAAGAUUACAACCAUAUAAAAUAUCUAAUUCCAAAUCAGCAAAAUGAAUUAUCGCGUAAUUCUAAAUUACAAAUGUAAAAAUCUGUUUCAAAAUCAAGCACAUAAAAUUAAAUUCAAAAGCUAUUUAUUGUAAAUAUCAUAACCAAAUUCCAAAUCAAAUCAAAAUUCUAAAAUCAUUAUAUCAUUGCAAACAAAAACAUAUCAGCAUAUCAAGCAAAGAAAUGUCAAUGUUUGAUUAUCUAUAUAUUAUAAAAACUCAAACCAAGAAAUACAUCAAAAUCAAUCAAAAACCGCAGUUAAAAACAAAAUACAAAAUUUAUUUCUAACUUAUUUAAAUUCAAAAAGAGCAAAAACAACAAGAGCAAGACAUUAUACGAACAAAUAUUUAAAAGCAAAAGUUCGAACCGAAUUCAAAAUCAAUAUCCCAAAUAAUUUAGUUGAGUUCUUCAAAAUUGUUUAAAAUUUUAAUAUUUCUAAAAAUUUAUUUUUAUAAAAUUUAUUUUCAAAAACACCAAGUAAAAUGUCAGAUUCAAAUAUUUUAAAAAUCACUGCCUUUAAUAGUUAGUUUCAUUUCAUGAAACUUCAUGUUUCAUUCAAAACAGAGACUAUUCUUCAUUAAUUACAAAUUUUAUGAAAUUAUUUCACAACAAGUUAAAAAAAAAUAACAAAAAGCCCUAUUGGAAUAACAAUAAAAUUAAAAUUUCAUAUUAUACUCUUAAUUACACAGUUAUGAAAAUAGAACAAUCAAAACACACAUUUAGUUUCUAAAUUUGAGUUUCAAAAAGAAACAAAAUGAAGAUAGCUAGUUUCAUAAAUAUUUAUUCAGACUGAAAACUAUGAACUACAACAAAAAUUUGUAAUGAUUGCAAUUCAAAAGGCGAUGAAACCAGUUCUGAGAAAAUUAUAUAUAUAAAUUGACAAAAGAUUUACCGUUGUAAAUAUUCAAUCAAAUUAGAGUCUUAAUGCAUCAGGAAAUUUUUGGAGUAAAGAAACAUUUUGAAUUAAAAUUCACUAUUUAUGCAAUUAUGGAAACGUUUUAUCCGGUAAAGAACGGAACAAACCGCAAUACAAAAAUCAAAAAUUUAGAAAAAGUAUAAUUAAAACAAAAACUGAAUAUAAUUUAGAUCAAAAAAAUUCACUUUCUUUCACAACUUUAGAAACUUUUCUUUUACAUUUCAUUUACAUUAUUAGUUUUUCGAAAUAUUCUCGUAAGGUAACUACUUCCAGUCUUUUUUUUUAAAUUUAGACUCCUUUUCAAAUUAUUUAGCUCAAUUUAACAAAUUUAAAACAUGUGCCACCAUUUUACAAUUUGCUCAAUACUUUUUCACAAUUAAAAUGGUCUAGAAAACCAAAAUUACCCGAUUUGAAUCUCAAAAGAAAUCCAAAUGCCUUAAAUAACACAAUUUAUACGUGCAUUCUACAAAAUAUUAAAACCAAUCAUAUUAGAAAUAUUAUUCAUUUUAAUCUAAAUUGUAUUAAAUUUCUUUUAUUCUUUUAUUAAACAAAAAGGUUUCCCUUUUCAAAAUAAUAAUAACAUAUCUAAAUUACUUUAUUUUAGAACCAGACAAACCAAAUCCAAAAAUCCAAAUUCAACUUUCGGCUCCUCUGGCAAUCAUCAAAUUUGAAAACCGAAAACCAAAAUUCAACUCAAAAUUGAACCACACCCCGGCCACAAAAUUCAAUAUUCAGACCAAAAUUUAAUUUAAAGCAUUUAUCAGACCAGGUAAUCAAAACUCUAUCCAAAAUCACACAAAGCAGCAUAGUAUUUAAAAACAAUCAAAAUGACAAUAAGAAUAAGUGCACAUUCAAAAGUCCAACCAAACCAAUGCCAAAUUAAAUAAGUCAAAAAAAAAAAAAACAACAAAUCCUGUUCAAAAGUCGCAGCAUUUCGAGGAACCUUCGGUGCAUAAUUAUUACCACAUUAAGAUGAUUAAGUAUUCGCAGCCCACCCAUUAAAUUGAGAAAACAAAACCGAGCCGCCAAAAAUUCAAAAACAAGAGCGAAAAAAAGAAGUGCAGCUAAAUUUCAAAAGCCAGUAUUAUAAAUUACAAGAAACUGCGGAAGUUUUAAUGCGACAAAUGUCAGGAGCAAAAACGCAGGCCGCCGCCGAAAGGCACCAAAAAUUCCGAGCUGGAGCUGGCGAAGAAGACGCGACAGGAACAGGAUAAUGGUUAGGGAAACUCCUGGCAACUUUCUGGCCAAAAUCUUAGAAAUGGCGGCCAAAGGGCGCGGCGAGCGGAGAGCGGCCAAAGGGCAGAUAAAUCACAGCGAAACAAAACAAUUCCCAGCUCUCGUGAAAAUUCCAAAUCCACAAGAACAAAAACUGAAACCGAAACUGAAACUGAAUCUGAAUCUGAGAGCACUGUAUACUGUAAACUAUAACAAAAACCGAAACCGAAACAAAAACAAAGGCACGCGAUUUCAAAGAAGAGGGUUGCUAGACCAGUAACCAAAAUCAGUUGAGCCGGCAAAAUCAGAAUCCCAGGCCAGCAGUCCAGUCCAGUCCAGUCCAGUCCAGUCCAGUCCAUACUCAAAAGAUUCCACGAUGACCAUGACCACUUUGAUCCGCCCCCAGGAGAGACCGAAUCCUCAAGCCCAUUACUUUCGCCCGAAGGCCGCCGCACAAAAAUCACAAAUUUGAAGACAAACUGCAACUUAACCCAAAUCCAAUUCGUAAUCAAAAUCAUUAUCAAAAUCAAAAUCAGAAACUCAAACUCAAACUCAAAAUGAAGGCAUCAGCAGCAUGGCCAGCAGAACCGCAACUUUAAAUAAUAUUCGGCACGAGUGUCACGAGCACAGCUAAAACACUUGAAACUCGAAACUUAAAACUCCAGGCACCCAAACUCCCAUUCUGAAAUUGUGGUCAGACUUGGUUUCUUUGGCAAAAGUUCGAACCAUCAUCAUAGCAUCAUGCAGCUGAAAGCACAUCAAACAAAACUCCAAAUUUAUAUAAACUACUGGCAAUAGCCGAGGUCGAGGCAUAAUUGCCAUCAAUAAAUAAAAUAUGGCUGGCAUGAGCAUGAGGUCCCCUCAUAAGCAGACCCUCAGCCAAGAAGACAGGACACCCAAUCCGAGCAAGAGACCCCGACCCAUCCUCCGCAGCAGCCAGUCAAUGGCCACUAGACAGCAGAACGUUUUGAUUUAUAAAUUCAUGGCAAAAGUUGCCCGGCCAAGUGGCAGCCGCCGACUAUGACGACACAUACACCGACUAACUAUCCAACCAUCCAGCCAGCCAGCCAUCCAACCAACCAGCCAACCAACCAACCAACUUACCAACCAACCACCCAGAGACUUGGCAAACAAGAAACUGCAAAAACCGUCUUAUGAAAUUACACAUUUCCGACUUGUACUAGUAGAAAAUCCCUCGAAAUCACCCAAGCCGAAGCCCAAAAAGAAAAAACCAAAUUCAAGCAAAUUCAAGCAACCAAAUUUACAACGAAGUAGCAGUUAUAGUAGCUCCAACCUCCCCUCCGACAAAUCCGGCACAGAAAUUUAGUUAUGAAUUUUAUUUACACACAAGAACAUUUCUAGAGAGCAGCAUCUUCCCACCUUUGGCUAGUAGGACUACGAUAAAACAAAAAAAAUUUAAAGAACAUAUUUACCAAAAAAGUUUCGGGCAAUUUGGAAAUUUGCAAAAAUCAUUGAGACAAACGCGAGAAGCACCCACGAAGAGUAGCAAAUGGAAUCUUGUACAAUAGUUCUAUUGAAAGACAUUCGAAAUGAAAGAAAAGCAAAGAAAGCUAGAAAAGCAUAUCCUUCCCGGCCAGAUCUACGCAAAGAGAGAGACAGAUAGAGAUAGAUAGAGAGAGACAGCCAAACAAAAGGACAGGUAGUAUGCGAGUAUAGCAUAUAUGCAUAUAUUCCAUAGCCAGAACAGGAGUAAAAGGACCACAAUCGCGAAAAGUUAACAUUUCGGACACAAGGUUGGGGAUACCUAGUGUAAUUGCUUAGACUUAAGAGUGUUGCACUAAGCCAAGUGCAGUGCCGACUGACCCCGCCCACAACAACGCCCCCCGUUGAGCAAAAAAAAAAAACCGUAGAUAAUGGAAAUUUCCCAUCGGGCAGACCAAAAAGAUACAUCUUAGGCCUCUUUAGACCCAAAUGAAACAAAAUGAAGACCUAAAGAAAUGAAGAAAGAACAGGAACUACGAUUAAGCGCGAAUUGUACCACGUAACUACACUUUGUAUCCCCUUAGUUAAGCUAAAAUUAUUCGAGAUAUAUACGAGAAAUUGCACAAAAAAAAAACGCACAAAAUGCUAAAGAAAGGAAAACUAAUGUAGAUAAUGCCAAUCCUUUUGUCUAAAAUUUCAACUCUUGGAAAUUUCGCAAUUGAAUUGCGGAAUAUUUUAGACGAAACGAUUGCCGCAUUUUUUAUGUGAUUUUAUACACACAAUUCAUUUGCACACAGAAGUAUAAUUAUCUAUAUUUUAUUUCGAUAAUCUCCCUACACUAUCAUUAUCGUCGUCAGAUUCAAUUUCUUAUAUUUUUUUUUUCGACACAUGUGAUAAGCGAAAAUGUUAAGCAAAACAUUGGAAAAACGAAUUUCAACCAGGACAAAAAAAAGAACCAAAAUCAAAACUGUGUUAAUCAAUCUUUGAUAGAUCUACAAAAAAAAUUUAAGUUUCAAUAAGUAAGCUAAAAAUACGAGUUUAAUGUAUACAAAAGUAUCAUUUGGCACAAAUCCAUCAAAAUCACAAUUAAUCCUUUAUACGAAUAUAUAUUAUUUAAAUUGUUAUUUCAACCGUACAACCUCAAAAACACAUAAAUAUUGUAAACAUUAGAAAUAGCGAGAUUAAAAAAAUACCAAACAAAAAUCAAUAAAAUUGUACAAGCCAAUUUGCUCUAAUAACAAAACAAUAC